ACAACAUUGGGACCGUUGGUCUACCGAGCAAUAUCACCCGCUCGGUGGAAGAUCUUCCCUUUGUUGU
rnacentral:pre_miRNA from 1 species